AUUGAACGCUGGCGGCAGGCCUAACACAUGCAAGUCGAGCGGAUGAGUGGAGCUUGCUCCAUGAUUCAGCGGCGGACGGGUGAGUAAUGCCUAGGAAUCUGCCUGGUAGUGGGGGACAACGUUUCGAUAGGAACGCUAAUACCGCAUACGUCCUACGGGAGAAAGUGGGGGAUCUUCGGACCUCACGCUAUCAGAUGAGCCUAGGUCGGAUUAGCUAGUUGGUGAGGUAAAGGCUCACCAAGGCGACGAUCCGUAACUGGUCUGAGAGGAUGAUCAGUCACACUGGAACUGAGACACGGUCCAGACUCCUACGGGAGGCAGCAGUGGGGAAUAUUGGACAAUGGGCGAAAGCCUGAUCCAGCCAUGCCGCGUGUGUGAAGAAGGUCUUCGGAUUGUAAAGCACUUUAAGUUGGGAGGAAGGGCAGUAGGUUAAUACCUUGCUGUUUUGACGUUACCAACAGAAUAAGCACCGGCUAACUUCGUGCCAGCAGCCGCCGUAACAC
rnacentral:rRNA from 1 species